rnacentral:lncRNA from 2 species
AUGUCAAAGGUUGAUGAUAUGGUAAUUGAUGACAAUCAUGAUAGGAGUGAAGGGAGUAAAGAGGCACAGGAAGGUUCUGAUUUAGAGAAAGAAAUGGAUUUUUCUAUGAUGGCUGAAAAUAUCUUGGAUGUGGCUGUCCAAGAUGUGUUGGAGGAGGUGUAUGAGAGGGUAGAGAGGGAGGAAAUGGAGGAAAAUGAGGCGGGGGAAAAGAUUGUUCAGCUGGCUAAUGUUGGGGAGGUGUUGGUGACACCAAAAAGGGCUAGCGAGAGGUUGAUGGGCAACAGCGGGAGACAUUCACUUGAAAAGGCUAAGUCCAAAAAGGCAUGGAUGAAUCUCGACCCUCUCUCA